ensembl:lncRNA novel transcript
CAGGAAAACUGCACCUGAGUACAUGCCUCGUUCUCCACUUCAUCUAAGCAAAGAAGAGAUCCUACAAACAAGAAUACAACUAAGAAAAUGAAGAAGCUGGAAAAGGACACAGCCACAUGGAAAGCCCGAUUUGAGAACUGUAACAAAGCUCUGUUGGACAUGAUUGAAGAGGCUUCUCUGCCGUGCGUCCUCCUGGAGGAAGGGAGGAAGCGUAGAAGGUGCCGAUGCACUUUUCCUCUCUCCAGCCCUCCUGACUGCUCCAAGAAUUUCAUCGAACAAGACUCAAAGAGGCCCAGCUGCUCUGCGUUUUGAUUCUUCUCCCUCUCUCAGUCCACACUGACCUGGGAGGGGCUUCUCAAACACCACAUUUCCUAGCGUGCUGUGAGAAGAGGACUGUGAGCUAAGAAGGGAGAAAAGGCACUCCCUCCUCAUCAACAAACACCUGACCUGGGUAGACCCUCUGCUUACCAAGAUCCAGUCCACCUUUUGACAUCAGCAUUCAUGCUGCCUCUUUUUACGAACCAAGCCAAAGUGGUCCCUUCCUCUGGAAAUUAUAGGAUACUUAAUGUACAUCAUAUCCAGCUUCCCGACUCCAGACUGUGGGAGAUGACACAGAGCCAGCCUGCCUGGAUGUGACUCAGCUCUGCAACUUAUUAAAGACCUUUGGCAAAUCACCUAA